rnacentral:tRNA from 1 species
CACUAGUUGGCUCAGUGGCUAGAGCGUAGGGCUCGACCGAAAGGUUGCGGGAUCGAAUCCUGCUAUAGGCU